UACGUAGGGCGCAAGCGUUGUCCGGAAUUAUUGGGCGUAAAGAGCUCGUAGGCGGUUUGUCGCGUCUGCUGUGAAAACCUAAGGCUCAACCUUGGGCUUGCAGUGGGUACGGGCAGACUAGAGUGCGGUAGGGGAGAUUGGAAUUCCUGGUGUAGCGGUGGAAUGCGCAGAUAUCAGGAGGAACACCGAUGGCGAAGGCAGAUCUCUGGGCCGUAACUGACGCUGAGGAGCGAAAGCUGGGAGCGAACAGGAUUAGAAACCCGUG
rnacentral:rRNA from 1 species